CCCAACCCAAUGUGACGUUACCAAACUGUUGCCUCGGCGGGAUCUCUGCCCCGGGUGCGUCGCAGCCCCGGACCAAGGCGCCCGCCGGAGGACCAACCAAAACUCUUUUUGUAUACCCCCUCGCGGGUUUUUUAUAAUCUGAGCCUUCUCGGCGCCUCUCGUAGGCGUUUCGAAAAUGAAUCAAAACUUUCAACAACGGAUCUCUUGGUUCUGGCAUCGAUGAAGAACGCAGCGAAAUGCGAUAAGUAAUGUGAAUUGCAGAAUUCAGUGAAUCAUCGAAUCUUUGAACGCACAUUGCGCCCGCCAGUAUUCUGGCGGGCAUGCCUGUCCGAGCGUCAUUUCAACCCUCGAACCCCUCCGGGGGGUCGGCGUUGGGGAUCGGCCCUGCCUCUUGGCGGUGGCCGUCUCCGAAAUACAGUGGCGGUCUCGCCGCAGCCUCUCCUGCGCAGUAGUUUGCACACUCGCAUCGGGAGCGCGGCGCGUCCACAGCCGUUAAACACCCAACUUCUGAAAUGUUGACCUCGGAUCAGGUAGGAAUACCCGCUGAACUUAAGCAUAUC
rnacentral:rRNA from 1 species